GACGAACGCUGGCGGCGUGCCUAACACAUGCAAGUCGAACGAAGCUUGUUUUUCGGAAUAAGCUUAGUGGCGGACGGGUGAGUAACGCGUGAACAAUCUGCCCUGUACAAAGGAAUAGCCUCGGGAAACUGGGAUUAAAACCGUAUAACACUUUUUUAUCGCAUGAUGAAGAAGUCAAAAUGAUUUAGUGGUAUGGGAUGAGUUCGCGUCUGAUUAGCUAGUUGGUAAGGUAAUGGCUUACCAAGGCGACGAUCAGUAGCCGGCCUGAGAGGGUGAACGGCCACACUGGAACUGAGACACGGUCCAGACUCCUACGGGAGGCUG
rnacentral:rRNA from 1 species